UUAGGUUAAGUUAUGAAGGGCGCAUGGUGAAUGCCUUGGUACUAGGAGCCGAUGAAGGACGGGACUAACACCGAUAUGCUUCGGGGAGCGGUAAGUACGCUUUGAUCCGGAGAUUUCCGAAUGGGGCAACCCAAUCAGCUUAGUCGCUGAUUACUUGACUAGUGAAUACAUAGCUAGCAAGAGGUAGACGCAGUGAACUGAAACAUCUUAGUAGCUGCAGGAAGAGAAAGAAAUAUCGAUUCCCUGAGUAGCGGCGAGCGAAAAGGGAAGAGCCCAAACCAACAAGCUUGCUUGUUGGGGUUGUAGGACUGAACAUUAGAGUUACCAAAGUGCGACGUAGUCGCAACAGUUGGGAAGCUGUGCCAUAGAGGGUGAAAGCCCCGUAGACGAAACGUCACACUCUCUGUUCAGGAUCCUGAGUACGGCGGGACACGUGAAACCCCGUCGGAACCCGCGAGGACCAUCUCGCAAGGCUAAAUACUCCCUAGUGACCGAUAGUGAACCAGUACCGUGAGGGAAAGGUGAAAAGCACCCCGGAAGGGG
rnacentral:rRNA from 1 species